rnacentral:rRNA from 1 species
GAAAUACAGAAUACAUUGAGCAUUUGAAUCUCUAAUGCACAUUGCAACCCUGAGCAAUUCUCAUGGUUACAUCUUUCUGA